rnacentral:ncRNA from 1 species
GAGGAGUUUUAUUCUUGCUUGUCCGUUCAUUAUUUUGCUUGCUCUAUAUGUAAGUUUGUGCGUGAUUGUCCUACUGGUUCUAGAUGGUCCGGGGGGCUGAUGUGUUAUUCUCAUUAGUUGUUAUUAUUAAUCAAGUAUUCUUGUAGUUAGUAAUGUAUUUUAGUUUCGGUUAAAUUUUGUGCCAGCAGCCGCGGUUACACCUUGGAUGCAGUUGAACGUGUUUGGCUUGUGGUAGUUAUAUUAUAUUUGGAUUGGUUAGGUUUUAUUUUUGGGGGUUGGUUGGGUGAAAUUUUUAUUUUUGUUAUUUUCCUUUUUUUUGUUUUGAGGCUAUGAAAUUCUUUCUUUAAACUAGGAUUAGAUACCCUAUUAUUUUGGGAUGUUAAUUUUUGUGUCAGAGUAGUACUAGGUAUGUUCUUGAAACUUAAAGAAUUUGGCGGUAUCUUAUUCCGUUCAGAGGAAUCUGUCUCGUUAUCGAUAGUCCGCGUUGGACCUUACUUAGUUGCUAUGGUUUGUAUACCGCCGUUUAUUGAUUAUGCUUUUAGGGGUUUUAAUUUUCUGGUUUCUUUAUUCUGAUUUAUUUCAGGUCAAGGUGCAGCUUGUUUCUAAGUGUUAUUGAUGGAUUACAUUGGUUUAUUGUUGUUUGGAUUAUCAAUUGGAUUGUUGGUAUGAAAUUGGAUUUGAUUGUAAUGUUCUGAAGAUUGUUUUCGUGAUAAUUGGUUCUAAGAUAUGUACACAUCGCCCGUCGCUCUCGUUUUUUGUUAAUGAGAUAAGUCGUAACAAAGUGGUUGUACCGGAAGGUGUAGCUGGAGUGAU